AUUGAACGCUGGCGGCAUGCUUUACACAUGCAAGUCGAACGGUAACAGGUUAAGCUGACGAGUGGCGAACGGGUGAGUAAUGCAUCGGAACGUGCCCGAUCGUGGGGGAUAACACAGCGAAAGCUGCGCUAAUACCGCAUACGAUCUGAGGAUGAAAGCGGGGGACCGUAAGGCCUCGCGCGAUCGGAGCGGCCGAUGUCAGAUUAGGUAGUUGGUGGGGUAAAGGCUCACCAAGCCAACGAUCUGUAGCCGGUCUGAGAGGACGACCAGCCACACUGGGACUGAGACACGGCCCAGACUCCUACGGGAGGCAGCAGUGGGGAGUUUUGGACAAUGGGCGAAAGCCUGAUCCAGCAAUGCCGCGUGCAGGAAGAAGGCCUUCGGGUUGUAAACUGCUUUUGUACGGAGCGAAAAGGCUCUCUCUAAUACAGGGGGCUCAUGACGGUACCGUAAGAAUAAGCACCGGCUAACUACGUGCCAGCCGCCGCCGUAA
rnacentral:rRNA from 1 species